UACGAAGGGGGCUAGCGUUGUUCGGAAUUACUGGGCGUAAAGCGCGCGCAGGCGGUUCGAUAAGUUGGGGGUGAAAUCCCCGGGCUCAACCCGGGAAUGGCCUUCAAGACUGUCGAGCUAGAGGACGAGAGAGGUGAGUGGAAUUCCCAGUGUAGAGGUGAAAUUCGUAGAUAUUGGGAAGAACACCGGUGGCGAAGGCGGCUCACUGGCUCGUUUCUGACGCUGAGGCGCGAAAGCGUGGGGAGCAAACAGG
rnacentral:rRNA from 2 species